rnacentral:rRNA from 1 species
AAGUCGUAACAAGGUUUCCGUAGGUGAGCCUGUUGAAGGAUCAUUACAGAAAGUAAACGCGGGUAAAACCGCGAACUUCUAAACCCUUGAGAAUUGACUUACGUUGCCUCGGUGGGUUCGCCCACCGGAGGAUACAUAAACCCCUGUUUUAACGGUGUUGUCUGAGCUAUAAGCAACGAAUCAAAACUUUCAACAACGGAUCUCUUGGUUCUGGCAUCGAUGAAGAACGCAGCGAAAUGCGAUAAGUAGUGUGAAUUGCGGAAUUCAGUGAAUCAUCGAAUCUUUGAACGCACAUUGCGCCCCUUGGUAUCCCGAGGGGCAUGCCUGUUCGAGCGUCAUUUCACCACUCAAGCCUGGCUUGGUGUUGGGCGACGUCCCCCCGGGGACGCGCCUCGAAACGCUCGGCGGCGUGGCACCGGCUUUAAGCGUAGCAGAAUCUUUCGCUUUUAAAGUCGGGGCCUCGUCUGCCGGAAGACCUACUUUUAAGGUUGACCUCGGAUCAGGCAGGGAUACCCGCUGAACUUAA